UUUAAGAGGAGAAAAACCUAGCUUAAGAGAUGGAAAGAACAGAUUGCCAGUGAAGACUAUGACAUGGUGGCAGUUAGGCCGUUGUCCCCCUCCAGACCUGUCGAGAAGCCCUUUCUGCCAGGAGGACAGCUCAGAAAUGCAGAAUUCUGUUUUCAUUGGAACAAUACAUUGCAUGAAGCUACCAGAUAUUGCUUGAUUCUGCACUGGCUUUUGGCCAAAUAAACCGAUGGGCAGUUCCUCCUGAAACUGAAGAAAUCACAGAAAGAAAAGAGCCCACUUGGAGAUCCUUGAAGAUGAACAGGAAAUUCAGGCUCUCUCUCAUGGCAAAGACGAAUAGACAACCUUCCAU